rnacentral:rRNA from 1 species
UUAAACAGCCCACUCUUUCUGGCAGUCCCCGCUUAUAUCCUUGACUGAUCUCGGAAGCUAAGCAGGGUGGGUCCUGGUUAGUACUUGGAAGGGAGACCGCCUGGGAAUACCAGGUGCUGUAAG